CAACCAAUCAGCCCAAUCAAAUUAUUUUAUUUUUAAGUCCCAAAAAUCCAAUCCAUAAAGAUUAUUCUAGAAACCCCAAUUCCUCUCUCACCAAAACAGACGCUCCUCUUUCCCCUCUCCAUUGUCGCUUUCAAUAUCUGCCAUGGCAGAGCUCUCCCUUGGCCUUUUCUUCCAAUUUUGGCUAAGUCUUGACCUUCACUUUUUCCAUAUCUUACCAUUUGGGUAAAAGAUCUGAAGCAAAUCCCUGAAGCUUAGGACUUUGGCCAAGGAAUCUCAUAUUUUCUUUUGAUUUUUGCUGAGCUCUUCAAAAAGGCAACGUUCGGAUCUCAACGUUCAAUUUUUGAACCAUGACACUGCUCAAAAGCUGCGCGCCUAAACUAACCCUAGAAGAACCCUAACUUCUAUCUAUAAAUAUCUGUUUUGGAAAUCAUAUUUAAGACAACUCGGAGCCGCUGCCUCUCCCCACUAAAAUCUACUGCUAGCUAUUUGAUCACCAUUGUUGUUUUCCCUAAAUAUUUAGCUUCCUUUUUAAUAUUUUGUUGGCUUUCAAGCUAAAAUAGAAGCAUCCUAAUUUCUUUCAUCUGAGAAUUGUACGUGAGUAGAUUAGAGGCCGCUCCUAGUUCACUGCCCGCAAAAAGAAAUCAUAUCUAUUAGGAUUUAAAUACUAUUAGCGAACUCAUUCUACCGAGGGGCAACAAAGGCUGGAACUCUUCCUGCCAAAAACAAGGGACCUACUUCUCAUCCUAGGAGUUAGCAGGUAUGAAAGAGUCCCCUCUCUGUCUGUCUCUCCGAGUUUCUACUACUAAGUAGCACUUCUGCUAUUCAAUCAUAGAAUCGAUUCCGAUCAAGCUGAAAAAAGCAACCAAAGCAAAGGGAGGAAAGAGCUAUAAGGAAGACUGAUUCACUCGCUUUCGAGAACUAAGAUUUACAGCGUAAGGUAACAACUAGUAUGGAAAGCUGGUCGCCUUUGGAAGCCUUCGCCGGUAACCAAAGCGUAUCGUUCCCGCAACCACUUUGGUACUUUGUUUAUAGCUUUUUUAAGUUAUGCAAUAGAAGGGGGGGCUUGCGCUUGAAUUGAAGUAGCGUCUUUGGAAUAUGAGUAGGGCUCCUAAGUGGCGCGUUCGUGGAGGCAAACCGAAGGAAGAGCAAAAGGAAGAUUGGGUGCUUGUGGGGCGAGGAAAAACCUCGAAUAGGAGGGGGCCACCGCCCCGGGAAUCAAUAAGAAAACAAGUGCUAAGUUUCAGAUCAGAUAGUAUACAUUCAAUCCGGAUAAGACACUGAGAUGAAAGACGAAUCAAGCAAGAAAGGCAGGUCCGCUCUUAUAGAAGAGCUACAGAGGCGGAUGCGGAUUCAGUCCGAGCUAAGAACUGAGCGCCCCGGCGAAUAAAGAAGCCUUCUCGUAGUCUAAGGACCAUGUCAAAAGGUUUAGAUAAUGCCUACUUAACUUUAAAACGUGUACCUUCCUUCAUACUUACAUAAAUCAACAGCUGAGAUUGAGCUUAAAACAAGUUGUGACGUUUUUGCGGCGUGCUUGAUUACCGCACAAAAGAUCUUGUGAUUUCUUUUACUUAGAUACCAUGAUUUAGGAUUUCCAUUGUAAAUGUAUUGGAAGUAACGAUCCCCGGAAGCUAAAAUUUGAUAAAAUGUUGCAUAUAAAGAUUAAAAUGUGUCUGGCACCAAAUAUUGAUAUUUUGGUCUCAUAUAUUUUUAUCGUGAUGCUUUUAACAUUUUAAAAUCAACUUGUGUCUCUUGAUUUAUAAAGUUAGAAUGAACUGAAAGGGUGCCUCUUGAAUAUUAAGCUCUAUUUGGAAAAUCUGUCCACAAUUUAGGAUUACAAAAAGUAGUUAGCCUAGUUUUAGUUUUUUUUCUAAAAAUUAUUUGUUUUCAUUACAAGCUAAUUCUUUUGUCGAGACUCUGGUUCUUUUCUGAAUUAUUGUGCCAGUUUGAGAAUUCUCUAUUCUAAUUCUUGUUUUACUUUUCUUUUUGUUUUGCAUAUCUAUCCGGAGCAACAUGGAGUCUUAAUUCGAGACUCUUGCAAUGAAAUCUCAUAGUGAGGCUCGAUGCUACCAUCAUCGCCAUCACAUACCAUCUUCCUUAGGUGUAUCGAGCAUCAAGAAAAGCAAGCGAAAUGCUUGGGGGUGCCUAUGGCGUCCUUCCCUCUUAAUAUUUAUAUUGUGUCCAAUCUUUUAUGAUUGUUGAUUUAUUUGUUUGUUUGGUGUGUAUCUCAACUGUGGAUUUAGUCAUCUAGGUUCUCUACUAUAGUAUUUAUAUAAUCUUUAGGCAUUUAAGAUCACUAAUUUAGUAACUUUUUCAUCUA